GGCUCCUUCGGGGUCCGAGUUGUAAUUUGUAGAGGAUGUUUCGGGUGUGGCUCCGGUCUAAGUUCCUUGGAACAGGACGUCAUAGAGGGUGAGAAUCCCGUAUGUGACUGGAAGCCUUCGUCCAUGUGAAACUCCUUCGACGAGUCGAGUUGUUUGGGAAUGCAGCUCAAAAUGGGUGGUAAAUUUCAUCUAAAGCUAAAUACUGGCCAGAGACCGAUAGCGCACAAGUAGAGUGAUCGAAAGAUGAAAAGCACUUUGGAAAGAGAGUUAAAAAGUACGUGAAAUUGUUGAAAGGGAAGCGCUUGCAACCAGACUUGCUCGCAGUUGCUCAGCCGGUGUUCUCACCGGUGCACUCUUCCGCGAUCAGGCCAGCAUCGGUUUGGGCGGCUGGAUAAAGGGCUUCGGGGAAUGUGGCUCCUCUCGGGGAGUGUUAUAGCCCGAGGUGCAAUGCAGCCCGCCCGGAUCGAGGACCGCGCUUCGGCUAGGAUGCUGGCGUAAUGGUUGUAAGCGACCCGUCUUGAAACACGGACCAAGGAGUCUAACAUCUAUGCGAGUGUUUGGGUGUCAAACCCAUGCGCGUAAUGAAAGUGAACGGAGGUGGGAACCCUUAAGGGUGCACCAUCGACCGAUCCUGAUGUCUUCGGAUGGAUUUGAGUAAGAGCAUAGCUGUUGGGACCCGAAAGAUGGUGAACUAUGCCUGAAUAGGGUGAAGCCAGAGGAAACUCUGGUGGAGGCUCGCAGCGGUUCUGACGUGCAAAUCGAUCGUCAAAUUUGGGUAUAGGGGCGAAAGACUAAUCGAACCAUUAACUACUAGGUGGUUAAGAGGCCGCUGAAAGGGCGUGCCUAGUCCUGCUCUCCGGGGCGACAUUGUCAAAUUGCGGGGACGUCCUAAAGGCGCUGCUACCAAGCGGGCGUGGAAACACGGUCCGUGGCCGGGGUAAUGACCCAGGGUAUGGUAAAAACGCAGCGCAUGAUCCCGCUCGUGGGUGAAAUGGAUAAUCCGCAGCCAAGUCCUACGUCUCGCCUCGGCGAGAUAGGGAUGCUGUUCACAGACUACAUGGCAAUGGGUUCCCUUCUCGAAGAAGAGGGGGGCUUAAGAUAUAGUCGGGCCGCCC
rnacentral:ncRNA from 1 species